AACGAACGCUGGCGGCAUGCCUAACACAUGCAAGUCGAACGAGACCUUCGGGUCUAGUGGCGCACGGGUGCGUAACGCGUGGGAAUCUGCCCUUGGGUUCGGAAUAACUCCCCGAAAGGGGUGCUAAUACCGGAUGAUGUCGUAAGACCAAAGAUUUAUCGCCCAAGGAUGAGCCCGCGUAGGAUUAGGUAGUUGGUGAGGUAAAGGCUCACCAAGCCGACGAUCCUUAGCUGGUCUGAGAGGAUGAUCAGCCACACUGGGACUGAGACACGGACCAGACUCCUACGGGAGGCAGCAGUGGGGAAUAUUGGACAAUGGGCGAAAGCCUGAUCCAGCAAUGCCGCGUGAGUGAUGAAGGCCUUAGGGUUGUAAAGCUCUUUUACCCGGGAUGAUAAUGACAGUACCGGGAGAAUAAGCCCCGGCUAACUCCGUGCCAGCAGCCGCCGUAAAAC
rnacentral:rRNA from 1 species